rnacentral:rRNA from 1 species
UGCAAGUCGAACGGCAGCACAGGAUAGCUUGCUAUCCGGGUGGCGAGUGGCGGACGGGUGAGUAACGCGUAGGAAUCUACCUUUUCGUGGGGGAUAACCCGGGGAAACUCGGGCUAAUACCGCAUACGCCCUACGGGGGAAAGCGGGGGACCUUCGGGCCUCGCGCGGAAUGAUGAGCCUGCGUCCUAUCAGGUAGUUGGUGAGGUAAUGGCCCACCAAGCCGACGACGGGUAGCUGGUCUGAGAGGACGACCAGCCACACUGGGACUGAGACACGGCCCAGACUCCUACGGGAGGCAGCAGUGGGGAAUAUUGGACAAUGCGGGAAACCCUGAUCCAGCAAUACCGCGUGUGUGAAGAAGGCCUUCGGGUUGUAAAGCACUUUUAGCAAGAAAGAAAGGCCGUGCGCUAA